rnacentral:lncRNA from 1 species
CCCUAGGCCCCUCGGAUCACCCCAUUCACCAUGAAUAGUGCUGUAAAUGUUUUGUGUACAAAGACUGAUGAAGGGGUGAACAGCCACGAGGAUGAAAAUCCAAGCAUUUCACAAGCACCACCUGCCCCUGAAAACUCAUGCAAAUACCUUCUAACCAAAGAGGUGGCUUUGUUUAUGCACAACUGCAUAUGUUUACUUUGUUCAAAUAUAAAAUUAGACUUUUAUCAUGAAAGCACACAUUCUAAAAAAUGUCAGCAAAAAUUAUAAGGACCACAUCUCCAUAAUCCAAUGGAGAGCCUCUGACAUGUGGAGUUGCUCAUUGGCUUUGACUCAACGGAUUUUAACUCUAUGAAGCAUCUCUAUACCCUUGUCAGCAAAUUGGAACUCAUCAAUGAUGGGAGUUGGAGUGCUGGUAGGGGUUGCCAAAGAGCAGAUUGUUGAUGAUUCUUCUUAGUGUGACCUUCAUGAAGAGCACCUGCACCACUAAAGAGAAGGUCUGAGAGUUUCUAAAUAUGAUAAAUAUAUAUGCUGGGACAAAGCAUUUCAUCGGUAGGUACUUCAGAAAGCUCAUCACCAGAAAUUUUACAUAGGAAAGGUACCUGGAGUACCAGCAAGUUCCCAGUAGUGAUCCUACAUGCUAUAAAUUCCUGUGGUAUCCAGGAGCUCACGGUUAAAUCAGCAAGAAUAAAGGUCCUAAAAUUUUUGUCUAAGGCCAAUGAUAUGUCACUGUUUCUUUCUAUUCCUGUGUGAAAAGUCAUUCUGAGAUGAGUAAAAGAGAGCCCAAGCCAGUGUUGCAGCCAGGAUUGGCACUAUCAUUAUGGCCAGGGCAUGUUCCAGGGCCAUGUACAACAGCCUUUUACAC